rnacentral:rRNA from 1 species
GGUUAAGCGACUAAGCGUACACGGUGGAUGCCCUGGCAGUCAGAGGCGAUGAAGGACGUGCUAAUCUGCGAAAAGCGUCGGUAAGGUGAUAUGAACCGUUAUAGCCGGCGAUGUCCGAAUGGGGAAACCCAGUGUGAUUCGUCACACUAUCGUUAACUGAAUACAUAGGUUAACGAGGCGAACCGGGGGAACUGAAACAUCUAAGUACCCCGAGGAAAAGAAAUCAACCGAGAUUCCCCCAGUAGCGGCGAGCGAACGGGGAGCAGCCCAGAGUCUGAAUCAGCUUGUGUGUUAGUGGAACGGUCUGGAAAGUCCGACGGUACAGGGUGAUAGUCCCGUACACCAAAAUGCACAGGCUGUGAACUCGAAGAGUAGGGCGGGACACGUGGUAUCCUGUCUGAAUAUGGGGGGACCAUCCUCCAAGGCUAAAUACUCCUGACUGACCGAUAGUGAACCAGUACCGUGAGGGAAAGGCGAAAAGAACCCCGGCGAGGGGAGUGAAAAAGAACCUGAAACCGUGUACGUACAAGCAGUGGGAGCACCUUCGGGUGUGACUGCGUACCUUUUGUAUAAUGGGUCAGCGACUUAUAUUCUGUAGCAAGGUUAACCGUAUAGGGGAGCCGCAGGGAAACCGAGUCUUAACUGGGCGUUAAGUUGCAGGGUAUAGACCCGAAACCCGGUGAUCUAGCCAUGGGCAGGUUGAAGGUUGGGUAACACUAACUGGAGGACCGAACCGACUAAUGUUGAAAAAUUAGCGGAUGACUUGUGGCUGGGGGUGAAAGGCCAAUCAAACCGGGAGAUAGCUGGUUCUCCCCGAAAGCUAUUUAGGUAGCGCCUCGUGAACUCAUCUUCGGGGGUAGAGCACUGUUUCGGCUAGGGGGUCAUCCCGACUUACCAACCCGAUGCAAACUACGAAUACCGAAGAAUGUUAUCACGGGAGACACACGGCGGGUGCUAACGUCCGUCGUGAAGAGGGAAACAACCCAGACCGCCAGCUAAGGUCCCAAAGUCAUGGUUAAGUGGGAAACGAUGUGGGAAGGCACAGACAGCCAGGAUGUUGGCUUAGAAGCAGCCAUCAUUUAAAGAAAGCGUAAUAGCUCACUGGUCGAGUCGGCCUGCGCGGAAGAUGUAACGGGGCUAAACCAUGCACCGAAGCUGCGGCAGCGACACUAUGUGUUGUUGGGUAGGGGAGCGUUCUGUAAGCCUGCGAAGGUGUGCUGUGAGGCAUGCUGGAGGUAUCAGAAGUGCGAAUGCUGACAUAAGUAACGAUAAAGCGGGUGAAAAGCCCGCUCGCCGGAAGACCAAGGGUUCCUGUCCAACGUUAAUCGGGGCAGGGUGAGUCGACCCCUAAGGCGAGGCCGAAAGGCGUAGUCGAUGGGAAACAGGUUAAUAUUCCUGUACUUGGUGUUACUGCGAAGGGGGGACGGAGAAGGCUAUGUUAGCCGGGCGACGGUUGUCCCGGUUUAAGCAUGUAGGCUGGUUGUCCAGGCAAAUCCGGAUAAUCAAGGCUGAGGUGUGAUGACGAGGCACUACGGUGCUGAAGUAACAAAUGCCCUGCUUCCAGGAAAAGCCUCUAAGCAUCAGGUAACAUCAAAUCGUACCCCAAACCGACACAGGUGGUCAGGUAGAGAAUACCAAGGCGCUUGAGAGAACUCGGGUGAAGGAACUAGGCAAAAUGGUGCCGUAACUUCGGGAGAAGGCACGCUGGUGUGUAGGUGAAGUCCCUGCGGAUGGAGCUGAGACCAGUCGAAGAUACCAGCUGGCUGCAACUGUUUAUUAAAAACACAGCACUGUGCAAACACGAAAGUGGACGUAUACGGUGUGACGCCUGCCCGGUGCCGGAAGGUUAAUUGAUGGGGUUAUCCGUAAGGAGAAGCUCUUGAUCGAAGCCCCGGUAAACGGCGGCCGUAACUAUAACGGUCCUAAGGUAGCGAAAUUCCUUGUCGGGUAAGUUCCGACCUGCACGAAUGGCGUAAUGAUGGCCAGGCUGUCUCCACCCGAGACUCAGUGAAAUUGAACUCGCUGUGAAGAUGCAGUGUACCCGCGGCAAGACGGAAAGACCCCGUGAACCUUUACUAUAGCUUGACACUGAACAUUGAGCCUUGAUGUGUAGGAUAGGUGGGAGGCUUUGAAGCGUGGACGCCAGUCUGCGUGGAGCCAACCUUGAAAUACCACCCUUUAAUGUUUGAUGUUCUAACGUUGGCCCCUGACCGGGGUUGCGGACAGUGUCUGGUGGGUAGUUUGACUGGGGCGGUCUCCUCCCAAAGCGUAACGGAGGAGCACGAAGGUUAGCUAAUCCUGGUCGGACAUCAGGAGGUUAGUGCAAUGGCAUAAGCUAGCUUGACUGCGAGCGUGACGGCGCGAGCAGGUGCGAAAGCAGGUCAUAGUGAUCCGGUGGUUCUGAAUGGAAGGGCCAUCGCUCAACGGAUAAAAGGUACUCCGGGGAUAACAGGCUGAUACCGCCCAAGAGUUCAUAUCGACGGCGGUGUUUGGCACCUCGAUGUCGGCUCAUCACAUCCUGGGGCUGAAGUAGGUCCCAAGGGUAUGGCUGUUCGCCAUUUAAAGUGGUACGCGAGCUGGGUUUAGAACGUCGUGAGACAGUUCGGUCCCUAUCUGCCGUGGGCGCUGGAGAAUUGAGGGGGGCUGCUCCUAGUACGAGAGGACCGGAGUGGACGCAUCACUGGUGUUCGGGUUGUCAUGCCAAUGGCACUGCCCGGUAGCUAAAUGCGGAAGAGAUAAGUGCUGAAAGCAUCUAAGCACGAAACUUGCCCCGAGAUGAGUUCUCCCUGAGACUUUAAGUCUCCUGAAGGAACGUUAAAGACGAUGACGUUGAUAGGCCGGGUGUGUAAGCGCAGCGAUGCGUUGAGCUAACCGGUACUAAUGAACCGUGAGGCUUAACCUU